AGGUCCCGCCUGCCCUGUGACCACAAGUUUAACGGCCGCGGUAUUUUGACCGUGCAAAGGUAGCGUAAUCACUUGUCUUUUAAAUGAAGACCUGUAUGAAUGGCAUAACGAGGGCUAAGCUGUCUCCUCCCCCCGGUCAGUGAAAUUGAUCUUUCCGUGCAGAAGCGGGAAUAAUAACAUAAGACGAGAAGACCCUAUGGAGCUUAAGACACAAGGCAGCAAACGUUAAAACCCCUGGAAAAACAGGCAUAACCAAGUUAGCCCUGCCCUUUUGUCUUUGGUUGGGGCGACCGCGGGGGAACAAAUAUCCCCCAUGUGGAACAGGACCUGCUCCUCAAUACCAGAGCUUCAGCUCUAGUAAACAGAACAUCUGACCAAAAAGAUCCGGUAGUACCGAUCAACGGACCGAGUUACCCUAGGGAUAACAGCGCAAUCCCCUUUCAGAGCCCAUAUCGACAAGGGGGUUUACGACCUCGAUGUUGGAUCAGGACCCCCUGAUGGUGCAGCCGCUAUCAAGGGUUCGUUUGUUCAACGAUUAAAGUCCU
rnacentral:rRNA from 1 species